UUAAAAGCUUUGAACAAGAGUAGUAAUAUUUAUUUAUUUUAAGAGAGCUGUUGCUUGGUGAGAAACAGUAUUAAAAAAUAUGAACUCGCUUGGGAGCUUAUUUGCAGAAAAGCAAAUACGGUAAAUCCGUUAAUUUUUUAAGUGAGGUAUUUCCUAACUUGAGUGGUACCGCGGAAGUAAUGCUUUCGUCUCAAUC
rnacentral:ncRNA from 1 species